rnacentral:hammerhead_ribozyme from 1 species
UUGCGAAACGGGGAGCAUUCUCCCCGUCACCCGGACGUGGUGGUCCGGGUCUGAUGAUGCAGCCGGAA